rnacentral:siRNA from 1 species
UGACUUUGGUUGCACAAGGGGCA